GACCACCAGACCUGCUCCAGCUCUGGCUGGUGGGGAUCUACCGUCAAGACCACCAUGGUCUGUGCCGGUGGCGGAGCCAACUCUGGUUGCAACGGAGACUCUGGUGCCCCCUGAACUGCCAGGUCAACGGUCAGUACUAUGUCCACGGUAUUGCCAGCUUCGUUUCCAGUGCCGGAUGCAAUGCUACCCUACAAGCCCACCGUCUUCACCCGUGUGUCUGCUUACAUCAGCUGGAUGAACGGGAUCAUGGGUUGAAAGGGAACAUUGUCAUCGAGCACAACCCAGCUCAAUUUUGUUUACAUUCUGCUCUUAAGUUAAAUAAAUGUAAA